UACGGAGGGUGCAAGCGUUGUUCGGAAUUAUUGGGCGUAAGGGGUGCGUAGGCGGUGUGGUAAGUCUGAUGUGAAACCUCCAGGCUCAACUUGGAGCUGGCAUCAGAAACUGCCGUGCUAGAGUGCGGGAGAGGAGAGUGGAAUUCCUGGUGUAGCGGUGAAAUGCGUAGAUAUCAGGAGGAACACCGGUGGCGAAAGCGGCUCUCUGGACCGCAACUGACGCUGAGGCACGAAAGCUAGGGGAGCAAACAGG
rnacentral:rRNA from 1 species